UACAAUCGAAAAUUGUAACUAUUGCGUAGUCAUAAAAAAUUUAGUUUUCUCGGUAUGUUUUAAAAUUGUGUUUUGAUUAUAUAGUAACUACCUACAGUAUCAUUUUUAUUUAUCGUAAAAAUAAUGGCGUGGGGUCAUAAAUUCUACCGCCGUGCACAAUAGCCCAUAGUCGUGGUUUGGAAACUUAAGACAGACAAGAUGAAUGCUGUUUAACAAUGAAAAACUAUCUGUGAAAUAUUACUGCUCCAGCAUUUGCCUACACGAUGUAACUAAUAAAGAAAAAUUUCAGCCAUGUUAGGCGAUUCAGAAUUAAAUAGAUGUGAUGGUGGGUGUCAACUAGGAUCCAGCCAGUAGAUCUUGAUACUUGGACCAUACUUUGGAUGCUGAAGAUAUUGAAAUUGUACUUUUAAGAUAAUAGAGGGUUCACAUAAUAAUUCAAAUGUUGAAAUUUCGUGGUAGUUAAGGCCGAAACAGACAUGUCCAGAUUCGAUUAGUUCGAUUAGAAACGAGUAGACUAAAACACUAAAUCCUUUGAUUUUUCUGAAAAACCACCACCUCAAUUUUGGCUUCAUAUCAAACCACUUACUCUAGGAUUUUGGAGUUUAUAGUAAAGGUGGCGUAUGAGAACUAAACAUUUAAUUAAGACUAAUGCCCGAAAAAACUGAUACUCCGUCAGUGUGGAAAUUUGUUAUUUGUUAUGACGAAAGAUUAAAAGUGUUUACCUGAACAGCACUCUAUUUGUUCAAUUAAAUAACUCGUCGUUUUAUCGCUGAUUAGUGGCUGAUUACUGUAAUCACUCACAGAUGGGUAAAUAUUUGAUUAUCAUACUGUUAUUUUUCCACCGUUAAACAGGCAUUAUAUCAUGUUUGCUAAAAAAAUGUGAUAGCAAACAAUAACAUUUGAACGAAUAAAGCAGUUUAACAGUUCAGAAUAACUCGAUCCGUUUAAUUAAUUAUUACAUUUAAUCGCUUGAAGAAUAUUUAAAGAGAUGCCCUUGGAUCCAGUGGAAGCAAAACUCAAAACCUAUAAUUCUAAGAUAAACGCAAGUCAUCGAAGUUUAAUUUCAAAGUUUUUACAUUCACAGGAAUAAAAGAACAAAUUAGGAAAACCGAAAAUAAGUCCCUUUUCUGAAAAAGGUUGGGACAUUUUGCUAUCAUGCAAUUCAAUUUUUUAGGUGACUUCGAGAUCUCCUAUAUGCAGAUGGGAUUGCACGUUCUUUACGAGACACUGCUUUUACUGUUAAAAUAGGUACAUAAAAAAUAAGUCAAGGAAGAUUAUAAUUUAAAAUGGUCCAAAAGUUGAAAAAUUAAAGUAUUCCUUGUAAAUUCUUUUACGGCAACAUUCCUAUCUCGCAAGUAAAUACGUAAUGAAUUCGUAACAAAAAGCAUCUUUGAUUUCGUGUUUCAAUUUUUUCGAAAUGCUACUUUUGGAUGUAGAGUAGGGAUAAAAAAUUAUUCAGCAAUCAAAGGUGAAUAUUAGGUUCCAAGAAAAAUUUAAGGCGGAUAAAGUGGAAACGAGCGACAUAUAAUUUAAUGUAUGCAGGAUUCUAACAACUUUCCGAGUUUUCAGAGAAAAUCUUUCACUGUUAAUUUAUCUUAUAAAUGUAAUUCUCCUUAAAUGUGAAUAGUUUAGAAUCCUUAGUUCAGUCUCCCAAGCAUUGGAAGUGAUAGAGAGAUUACCCAUCAACUCGAAACAAUAAUGAGGAUGAAAACCAAUGGCAGUUAUUAAGCAAGGGGCAAGAUAACGAUGUCCUUCGACGAUAUAGCAGCACUAUUCCAUAACAUAAAUGAUUUAUCGGAACUUCUGGAAAUAGUGAAUAAUACAUUUAAGGACUUCGGAUUAAAGAUGAGCAUCAACUGAACCACAAUUUUGACGGGAAUAGAACAAACAAAAUAGCUCAAACCCCAACGCCAAAACACGACACUGUAGUUGUCCGAAGCACUUUUCGGUGAAAGUUCACUUCAGUCCCUGAAGAAGGUAACUUUGUUACAGAAAAGUGCUUUGGACAAUUACAGUGUCGUGUUUUGGCGUUGGUGUUUGAGCUAUUUUGUUUGCACUACAACAACCGCCAAAAUUUUUCCAAUCUGCAUAUUUCGAUGGGAAUGUCUGCACAAAUAUUUAUUACCUCAACAAUAUUGUUUUUGCAGAUAUGACCUCUCAAGAGUACAAAAUUAGUAUUAAGAAUUGAUUUGGGAAAGUACAGGGCGUUUCUGAAAUAAGUAGAAAGAUUUGGAGAAUGUUUACUAGAAGCAAGAGAGAAUCGCAUGGUCAGUAAAGAAGUGUGAUUAAGGAACAAAAAAAAAAUGGAAGGAAACUAGACAACGUUGCAAUCUGAAGCCUGCCCUGUGCAUGAAUUGGUAACGUUUAGAGAGAACUGAGCAACUACGUCGAUGAAAAGUGUAAACAGUGACGGUUAGUAAUAAUAAAGUAUAUAUUUAUCAACAGCUUACUACCACCGUACUACACAUGAUAAUCUUUAAGCGCCCAUUAGCAAUAAAAAUUCCUUAAAUAACUACUUAUGCAGUACUAUUUAAAGUACGCACUGACAUGGCAUUAAGGACCCAAAGAAACAUACGUACGUAUGCUGCAAAAAUUACUACACUACUAAGUUGCGCAAAAACGUCCACGUUGGCGUACUGCAUUUCCACUAAUCAUAUACGAUCAUGCAAAUUUUUAACAUUCUGAAAUGGCAUUGAAACUAAAAUGAAUUCAGAUUAGGACUACGCUCCGGUCAUGGUCAAAGGACCCAUGCAUACAUCCAAUCCAUCGUCUAGGAAAAUGUUUAUCUAGAAAUUAUCGCAUUGAGAUAUUGACCUACUUCUAAUGAUUUCGAGUGUCUAACUACAUAUGUAAUACAAGCUUACAACGUUAAAAGAAUAAAAAGCUACUCUAGACUGGCUGUAAACAACAUAACACUUAAUCUAAUCUGAUAAAUAACAAAUAAUAUAUGAAUACAAGAAUACAAAAGAAAUACAACACGGAUGCUGUUAAGUAACAGCUGAUUGAAUGCAGCGUUGCAGUGUCGUAUUUCCUUCCGGACUGACCCUUAGUUGUACUUUUAAAUAUGUUUUUCUCGAAAACGGUGUACUUUCUGGCUACCUACAAAAUUUACUUGAUUUUGUUUUUUUAUACUGGGCUAUCAGCUCCUGUAAGCUUGCUGCUUAUAUCAGAAACACCCUGUAUAAUGUAAGGACGAAUCGAAGAUUAGUUGAAGCUAAAGAAUGACUGAUGUUUUUAUUUAAUCAUCCUUUUUGAAACCGACAAGGUUGUGUUAAGAAAAUGGAUUCAUAGCAUGCAAUGUUUUAUAAGAAGUAUAAAAUUCUGUAGUGCAUUUCUAUGACUGAAAUAUUGAAACAAAAAAUCAAUUCCAAGAAGUACUUACUAUUCAUUUUAAGCUUUCUUUAUUUUAUUUCUUGUAAAGCAUUGUUACUUAUCACGGUUGAUGAAAAAUUAUGGAAGUUUAAGGAGUUUCUGUCUUUUUGGAUUGAAAGAAACCCAGCCAUUAAGAGAGGAUACGUAUAAAACUUUUGAAAGAAGUUUUAAUAAGGGAAAGAAGAACGUAAUAAAGGACACCAAUCAAUCAAAAUUUAGACAAAAAAAAGAUCGAUUAUGAAUGGAUCUUAUAUUAUCUCAUUAUUAUUUGUAGACUACUGAAAUUAUCUGUAUCCUGUCCCAAAUUUAAGCCACAUCUGUUACUUAAAGUUUCUUUUUUGUAUCUUAUUUUCUUCGUAAUUAGUGAACAUGCUUCUAUAUUUACGUUAUUUACUCUUGCUUUACCAUUAAAAGAAACUGAAAUGAAUUUUUCCAUGUAUCAAGGAGCAUAAGAGGGUAAAAAAUUAUUUAUGAGAACAUUGUCAAAGAACAGAUCUAUAUCCUGUUACAAUAUUGCAAGUAACGGUAAUGUAUCAUAUAAACAAACUGACAGAGUUAGCAAAGAUUACUAUACAAAAAGGUGCAAAAUUAAAUAUAAACUAUAUCAAUAUUUCAAUAUUCCUAUCAAAUUCGAGCUUUCCAUAAAAAAUUAUAAAUUUAGAUAACAAGUUUUGACAUGCCAAUAUUGUUUCUAAGAUAUUUAAAUUUGUCUUUGGGCACAGUUUUUGUAAAAAAAUCAGCAUACAGAUUAUUGGUGUGUACAUAAAUAUUUCUGACUAAUAAUACUUCCAUAGUAUUGU